AUGGAGACGAAGAGGAGAACGGGGAAGUAGGGGUCCGUCCCCGGCGACGGCACCAUCGCUCUCGAGGCGCUGGACUGCACCGUCUGCUACCACCCGCUCAGGCCUCCCGUCUUCCAGUGUGCGGUUGGGCAUGUGAUCUGUUCGUCUUGCCACCACAAGCUCAAGAACAAGAACAAGUGCCACGCUUGUGUCACCACCGGAGGCUACAACCGUUGCAUAGCGAUCGACCACAUCCUGGAGUCUGUCCAUGCCCCUUGCUCCAACUCCAUAUACGGUUGCACCGUCAAGACGCGUUACCUCGAGCGACAGGAACACGAGAAGUCAUGCCCACUUGCACCGUGCUUGACCACCCAGCUCCUUCACCAUCUCACUAACGAUCACAAUAUACCAGUUACAGAGUUUCCAUCCGGAUGGUGUCUCACCCUCGAGAUACAAGUACAACAGAGUAUGCGGGUUCUCCACAUGAAAGAAGAAGAAGGCGGCCCCAGGUUCCUAGCUAAGUUCACACCAGUGCUGACUUUUGGCAAUGUUGUCUCCAUCUUGUGCGUUGAUCCUCAUGCCGUGCCGGGGGAGCACAAGUUCAGGUGUGAGGUUGAUUUCUACUGCAACACCCUGGGUUUGCGACAGCUUUCAAAUUUCCAGAUUGUAAGCACCAGUCUUUCAGAUGGCUUCCCAGCGGAGCUUGGCAGCAACCCAUUUCUUGUGCCAACAGGUUCUUCUAACUCUCCCACUACCAGCAGCAGCCUCACCAUCCGCAUUGCAAAGAUAAUCCAUGACAGGCCAAUAAGUGACCGGCGUUGGAAAUCAAGAUCGUAG
rnacentral:rRNA from 1 species